GCCUCCGAUGCACCAAUUCGGCAUGUCGGGGAGUUACUAGAUUUUUAUAGUGUUUGUGAUAUCAAUUUUUAUUGUUAGUCUGGUGGUCCAAGGCAGCGGCAGCAGCAACAGCAACAGAGAUUUGUUGAUAGGCAGGACCUAGUUUCCCAUUUUUGUUAAUUUUGGUAGCAAGCAGGCAAUUUUUUGCUGCUGUCCGAUCUUGAGUUGAGGGAG
rnacentral:misc_RNA from 1 species